GUGUCCAAGUACUCCACGUGCCUGAAGCGUUCAGGCUGGGCUUUGCCAGGAUUCCCCAGUGGAUGAAGAGCCUGGUGUUGAUCUGGUCCUUCUCAGGAAAAGAAACUGGUAUUUUCAGUUAAAACAUCCCUGAGACAACAACAACAACAACCAAAAAAAGCAACUACGAGUUCCUGAAGGGCAUAUCUUGCAUCUGCAGAUACUUUAAAAACGACAGCAUCUGUUGAGAAAGAAAGACGAGAGUGGAGUGCAGUUAGCUGAAACCCCGGCCCUCGCACAUCAGCU